AGGCCCAGAGAGAGGAGCAGGGUCUGAUCCGCAGCCUCCGUGGCAGCUGUUGAUCAGCUGUUGCCUCUCUCUUUCUCUCUG
rfam:Myotis brandtii contig196597, whole genome shotgun sequence.